rnacentral:lncRNA from 1 species
GUAUCUAAUGAAAGGGCGUAAUCACGUGGUCUCGUUGCAAACUUCCGGUGAAAUCGAAUGGUGAAUGUAAGUGCGGCACGGCGAGGUGGAGGAGAUUCGGACCAUUCCGAGAGAAUAUUAGGUCAAGAAAAACAUUCUCAUUUUUGUAAAUAAGGAAAGCUAGGUAAGUUCAUCUGUUAGUUAUGGCCUUUCUUUAAAGAUUCCGUACAAAUUUCUGUUCGCUGUUAUUACAUGGUGGCUGCUGUUUUGGACUGGAGUUGUCUUUAUAAGUAUUGUGGAGGUCGACUACUGUCCAAGGUGCGCUCAGUCUGACUUUGAAAUUAAAUGUCUACAGCCUAAGUUCCCGCGAAAACAUUAUUAGGCCGACUUUGGUUAUCUCACUGUUUUUUCGUUCGUUUAUUAUUUCCCGUCUUCUUAAAACAUUUUUAAAAUGGCUUUUGUAUUAAACAGAACGUGUAUCUAAUUACAUUGUUUUACAUGAAACAACCCUGUUGUGAACUUUUUAUCUCGGUCGGUUUAUUUUAAGUUAGAACGACUGAUAAAUAUCUCCCUAUCCCAAAUAUAUAUAUGGUCGAUGUCGUCUUCGUUAUAUUUAUUCGUUCCACUUCUCAUACACACACACGUACAAUCAUUCGCAGCUUUUUGCCCCCUCCUUAUAAACAAGCCGUCUGUAUUUUUGUGUGUCACUGUGUCCUCCCGACUCUUCGAGACUGCCAUGUCGGUGUCGUUGAAGCUGUCUUUGAUUUUUAAGCAAUUUCUUUCUCUCAUUCCCUCUACAUUCUUUUCUUUUUUUUUUCUACGAAAACACAGCAUUUAUUGUCAUAAAAUAAAUUUUUCUAGCUAGUCUAAUAAUUAAAUCGAAAUGUGGAGAGAAAAAUAUUGUUUAGAAUUUCGUCGAAUUGUUGUUUAUGACCUGAUUGUUGUACAAUAACAAAUUCGCACAAAAUCACUAGCGCAUCUAUAUAUAUAUAUGUGUAUAUAUACGCACACAAACCCGUCCUUGUUCGUCUUAUUUAUUCAUUUUAUUAGUAAACACGUUCCUAUUUGCGAUGAGUAGAUUGUUCCAAAUGCAUUUAAUCGUACCUUGAAAAUAAGCUGUAAUCGCAGAGCAAGGGUUGUGGUGUGUGCCUUACUGAUGUAGUUCAAUGAUGGUGUGGGGGGUUAAUUUAUCUGCUGAUUUCGGCAUCAGUCUUGGCCUUUCCUAUUCUGCCGAUCAUAUGUAUGCACGUGGCAGUUGAUGUAGUGGGGAGCAGGAGUAAAACCUCCCUCUACUCUCGGACAGAACAAAAAGCUGUUAUAAAAAAGCUAAAUGACACAUUUUAUUUUUCCUUUUCACGUUUUUCCUGUCUCUGUCUAUCUCGUGUUUAUGUAACUGAAUUGUUUGUUUAUACUCAAGGAAAAAAAAUCACCCUUCGAUUUAUUUCUCUUACAACAUUGGUUGUAAUCAGUCGAGUGACUACAAAAUUCUAGUGACAUAAUAUUGUCCGAUGACGAAACCAUUUAUCCCUUCUUUAAAAAAAUAACAUCGUACGUGUAAUGUUUGCUUGAAGGGGGAGACGUUUUGGAUCGUGUUUUGCUAAGGUCUCAUAUCAGAACUAUUCACAACAACAACCGUCGUUCUUUUCGUUUUGUUUUGUUGUUCUCACAAAAUUAAAUCUCGUGUUUAUUAUUCAAGGUCUAAAUAAAUCGUUAAAAUGUUGGAGCAGGCUAUAAAAUUAUUGAAUAUUGUAAAUCGAAGAAAAAUUCAAAGAAUAACAAAAACAAAGAUUGAAACUUGCUAUCCGAAUUAUUUUCAUCUUCAGCUAAUUUUCUAACGUAGUACACGAUAGUAAAUAUAAUAACGGUAAUCAUAACAAUACUUUAUGUACCUAAUAGUCCCGAACUUCUUUAUUUUAUUUUCCUCAUUUGGUAUCUGGCUUAUUUAUUGUUGAACAUGUGAAAAACAUUUGUGACGUUAAACACUUUAUAAAUAUAAAUAAUAUGACACGAUACCGCUUCGUCACAUCAUUUUAUUUUAGGUACACACACAAUUUUAUAUACUUAUAUAUAACUAUAUACACAAAUAAAUACUUUUUGCAAAGUGGUCGAUACACGCUUUUAGUGAAAAGUAAAUAUGCGCUAUGGCCUUAGUGGUUCACAUCGUUAUUUAGACAGAUAUAUAUAUAUAUAUAUACACACGCACUGUUAUACGCACAUCCGUGUUGACAUUAAGAUAAAAAUAAAUUAUAUGAGGAUCAGACCUCUUGACUUUUGGAGGUCCUACCAGACUAACCUGAAGUGCAGGCGAUGUUCUGUCUAAACCUUUGUAAAUUGACGCCUUUAGAGGAAUUUGGACGGUAUUUGUGGUUCCGAGGUAGGAUAAUUGGGAUUAUACUAAAAAUUUCACUGGUUAGAGCGAGGCAGUGGGAAUCGUGACAGAUAAGUGCCGCGAGUAAGCCUGUGAAAUAUAGGUACAAGCUGGUUCAGGACAAAAACGACUGCUUGUAGUCACGGCAGAAGAUACAUAAAAGAAGAAACUGACUAUAGAGUAUUAGACUCUAUUACGGAUUAUACAUAAGUUUUAUAAAUGGACAGCACUGGACCGGGAUGAAAUUUUUAUUCUAAUUUUUAAAAGGAACCUCAGCAUUUGAGAUGCAGUUUUUGCAAUAUUUGUAGUUACGAGAGAUUUGCAGAAAUUGUAAGGCCUAGUAAUUGUAUUAACUUUAAGGACUUUAGCUGAGUGCUGUAAUGCAUGGGAUGGGUGUUGUGUAGACCCUGAUGUACCCGAGUUGAUAGAUGUGGUUCGGGGUGAGUUCUGUCAGAUCUGAUUGGGAAUUUCCAAUCUUAUUGAAAGGGAAGCUGGUGUUGAUACUCCCGAUAUAACCGAUGGCCUUGCUGUUGUUAAGGGCAGUAAUUUUGCUACUGUUGAAGUUUAGAACGUUCAGGUUCCAUUGUUGUGUGAUUAUCAUCGUGUUAACGUCCAUGUUUUCCAUGGGUUGGACGGAGCUUAUUAAGGCAGAUUUUCUAUGGCCGGAUGCCCAUACUUGUUUCCAAGCAUGGCCAGUUAGAUUUUUUUGUAGAAUUUUGGAAGUGCAUGAAAAAGUGGGAGGAUUCUGCAAAGGCAGUAGAGAUUUUCUUGAUAGGGAU